rnacentral:rRNA from 1 species
GUCUGCUUGAAGAUAUAGGCAGUCUAGCCUGCUCACUGAUAAAAUUAUUUAAGGGCCGCGGUAUAUUGACCGUGCAAAGGUAGCAUAAUCAUUAGAGGUUUAAUUGGAAUCUGGUAUGAAUGGUUGGACAAAGGAAAAACUGUCUUUAUAAUGAAUUUUGAAGUUUACAUUUAAGUGAAAAGGCUUAAAUAAUUCAAGGGGACGAUAAGACCCUAUAAAGCUUUAUAAAUAAAUUAAAUUUAUCUAAAUUAAAUAAUAAAAGUUAAGUUUAAUUAUUUUAUUUUGUUGGGGUGAUGUGAGCAUAAUUAUAGUUAACUGCUUAAAAAAAAUUCUAUAUAAAAGAGUUUAAAUUAUAUGAUCCUUUAUAAAGAUUGAAAGACUAAGUUACUUUAGGGGUAACAGCGUUAUUUCUUUUGAGAGUUCAUAUCGAAAAAGAAGAUUGCGACCUCGAUGUUGAAUUAAAAUAUCUAUAUAAUGUAGUCGUUAUAAAAGAGGGUCUGUUCGACCUUUAAAUUUUUACAUGAUUUGAGUUCAGACCGGCGUGAG